AAGUCGUAACAAGGUCUCCGUAGGUGAACCUGCGGAGGGAUCAUUACUGAGUGAGGGCCUUCGGGCUCGACCUCCAACCCUUUGUGAACACAACUUGUUGCUUCGGGGGCGACCCUGCCGUUUCGACGGCGAGCGCCCCCGGAGGCCUUCAAACACUGCAUCUUUGCGUCGGAGUUUAAGUAAAUUAAACAAAACUUUCAACAACGGAUCUCUUGGUUCUGGCAUCGAUGAAGAACGCAGCGAAAUGCGAUAAGUAAUGUGAAUUGCAGAAUUCAGUGAAUCAUCGAAUCUUUGAACGCACAUUGCGCCCCUUGGUAUUCCGAGGGGCAUGCCUGUUCGAGCGUCAUUUCACCACUCAAGCCUCGCUUGGUAUUGGGCGCCGCGGUGUUCCGCGCGCCUCAAAGUCUCCGGCUGAGCUGUCCGUCUCUAAGCGUUGUGAUUUCAUUAAUCGCUUCGGAGCGCGGGCGGUCGCGGCCGUUAAAUCUUUCACAAGGUUGACCUCGGAUCAGGUAGGGAUACCCGCUGAACUUAA
rnacentral:rRNA from 1 species